CGGGAAGUGGCCCCGCCCCUUCACCUCCCCUGGUGCUGCAGCUCCGUGGAAGGAUCCCGAGUGCCCCGCCCCCUGGGUCUGGCACCCUCACCAUCUGCUGCUACAAGGGGCCACUCUGGGGGCUGAGGUGGGGGGCCAUGGGGAGGGGGAGCAGCGGCCGGAAGGUGACCUGGAAGCCCUUGGUCCCUUCCCGUGGGUUUUAGCAGGGAGCCUGGCGCUGCUACUCGUCCCCUGGGAUGCUCAGGACUUCCCAAAGCUGUCACGGGGAGGGCUCGGUGACGGCAGCGGAGGACAAGUUCCCCUGCCACGAGCUUACCUGAGGGCGGCCGGGGAAGCCAGCAUCGCAGAGCUUGGUUUGCCGAAAGCCAGUCCAGCAGCCUGCACAGCGAAGGGGCAGACAUAUCCUACCGUCCCAGGAGAGAAGAGGAAGGAAGCAUCUCCAUUCUACACCGCGCGGCUGUAAAAUCUUCGUGGCUCUCAUUUCCUUGGGCUCCACUUGCAAGACCUUCACUCUUGCCUCCUCUUUUCUAGAGCACCUGUGUGCAGACAGGUGCAACAGGAUGGUGAGGGGCUUGCUGCCGAGACAGGAGGCAGCACCGCGGGUGCAGGGCAGGGCGUCCAGGGUCCUGCUGGGGCCACAGGGGGGCCACACAGGCCUGGACCAGCUCCUGCAGACUUCAGCCUGCACCAAGACAAGACCAGAGUGGAAGCUGCAUCUGAGCACAGCCAAUGAAAAGACACUAUUUCUGAUCUUCAUUUACAUAUGGCAGGAAGCCCAGCAAGGUUUUUGAUGGGACAGUUUCUACGUGGUGUGACCCCAAAGGCCAAGGAAGACUCCCAAAGGGUCUGGUUCCUGUGGGGGGAGCAGGUGUGGGCUCUGGGAGAGGGGAACCCACAUAGAACGACUUUUCAGCUGCACAGGGCGCUGGGCAUUCUGCAUCCCGGUCCGGUCCAGUCCAGUACAGCAAGCGAGCAGGAAACGCAGUGCCAACAGCACUGGCUGAAGACUGAUAGGAGCACAUGGAACCCUUCUGCCUCAGAACCCACCACGUACACGACUGCUCAGUGAACUAUUUACGAGAGUUUCCCACUAGGGACAAAAUCCAACUUUACACAAAGAGACUUUAUACGGAGGAGCAGCGAUCCCCUGAUUUCCACGUGGUUUCUUUCUGGCUUCAGGCAUGUGACCUGCCUGUGUCACUGUGUGUCUAGCUCUUUCUUUAGACUUGUAGUACGCCAUCUAUCCUAGAGGAUUUGAGACACAAAGCUUCCGUGCCUAUGCAGAAAGUCACUGAAAGCUUAAACUCCUUGUGAAAAAAAAAUCCAAAUCUAGUGAUACUGAAGGAAGAGGGGAAGGGAAAACUUGAAGAGGAAAAAUGAAAUAAAACACCCUAAAGC
ensembl:lncRNA